AAUCCUUCGGGAGGAAGACCAUUGUGACUGAGUGGCGGACGGGUGAGUAACGCGUGGGUAACCUGCCUUGUACAGGGGGAUAACAGUUGGAAACGACUGCUAAUACCGCAUAACGUAUCGGGAUGGCAUCUUCCUGAUACCAAAGAUUUUAUCGCUUAGAGAUGGGCUCGCGUCUGAUUAGCUGGUUGGCGGGGUAACGGCCCACCAAGGCGACGAUCAGUAGCCGGACUGAGAGGUUGAACGGCCACAUUGGGACUGAGAUACGGCCCAGACUCC
rnacentral:rRNA from 1 species